CAUUAUUUUGAAUUGCUCUAUCAACUUUCGAACAUAAUUAUAUUGAUUGGAUCAUGUAAAUCUCGCUUUUUUUCCUUUCCUUCAAUCAAAUUCAUCACUCGAGAUUAACAAUAUAGUUUCAUCUAAUGUUAUUUGCAUCCACAGGAAUUGCUUGAGAUGGGAUUUUUGAGUUCUAUCUUCUAAAGAGUGAAACUAAUGUGUUUCUUUUUAUGUCUUUCCUUUUAUUGUCUGCUAGGCAUGGAUCGAGUAGAUCUUAGACACCCGAGCUUGUGUUGACAAACAAGACUCAGCUCAGCCCUACACAAGUUGGCUCAUUUUCUUUUUCUUUUUCUUUUUUUUUUUUUUUUUUAAAUUGAUAAAAAGUUAAAAAGAGUUAAAAAAAUGAAUCGAUCCCACGAGCUUCAGAUGAGCUGGCUGUCUAGCGGAAAAAAUUUCGACUCAUG
rnacentral:lncRNA from 1 species